GCGCUGCCUUUGAGCCCCUGCCGCGCCUGCGCGUGGCGCCGGGUUCAGGCGGCACGCACGCGCUUGCGCAUAACUGGGGCCGCCAGGUCCUCCCCCCGCAGCCCUUGUAACCGUGAGCAACACGG
rnacentral:snoRNA from 1 species